AUGUUGGCGAAGGUCACUGUCCACCACUACCAUGGAAACAAUGUUGAUAUGGGAACUGCGUGUGCUAAAUACUUCCAAGUCUGCUGCCUGAGUAUCAUUGACCCUGGCGAUUCCGACAUCAUCAAUGCAACACCAGCUGGCCAGAAACCUGUUCAAUGCGUCGGACCAAGGAGAGAGCUAAUCAAACCAAUGCGUCGGACCAAGGAGAGAGCUUGUCGAUGCGGAUGUGCAGGGGAACUUCCAUGGACGCAGCCCCAUCCCCUGCUGCUGGCACCAGGUACAUUGGCGGCACCAUCAGGAACGUGGGCUCGCCCGCGGCGACCACCGCGCCGGGGGACGAGCUGCUCCUCAUGUGCAUGUCCACCAGCACCAUGUCCUCCUUGCCGCACUUCGCCGGCUCCAGGUUGA
rnacentral:rRNA from 1 species